rnacentral:hammerhead_ribozyme from 1 species
AUCCAUCUGACGAGUCUUGAAUAGGACGAAACGAACGUUAAACUGGAU